GAGUUUUUUACAUCUGCUUUUACUUUUGAUAUGUUUGGACUUUUUACAACAUCUUAUUUAUUUUCUGCAUAUCAUGCUUUUUCUUAGUUUUUUCCCCCUAUUUUUAUACCCUCAAUGGAAAUGAUGAGUUGUUUUUACAAUUUUUGACAUAUGUAAUUGAGUUAGCAUAUAAUGAAUUGGGAUCUUUCAGUGCCUCAAACUCAAUGUUAGAACUUUACAAUGUACCAGGCUUCUGAAAAAAUUUUUUAAAUAUCCUCUAUAUUCAGGAUCAUAGUUAAUAAGUCAUCAUUGCAGGUUUUAGAUUUCCAUGGUAUAAAUACUUCUACCAUGGCCAAUUUCAAGCUACCAACAUCUAACAACCAGCUUGCAAGUUUCCUGAAAAAGUUAACAAUAGACUCCCGCACACCAUUGAUUGUAUUCUCCUGUAUGCUUGUUCUUUUUGGCAUUGUUGGUAGCAUAUCAGUGACCAACCUUUUGUGAGAUAGGUGGGCCCCUUAUGGCGAU
rnacentral:lncRNA from 10 species